UCUGAUUAUUUUGAUUAUGUGUCUUGCCAUUGUUGUUAUAUAGAAUAUCAACCGAUAGAUACAGAGCUGACAUCGCAAAUAAACUGUACAACAGCAAAUAAAACAUUCAAAAUAUUAUGUAAGGCAGACGCAUCACCAUCAGUGCAAUACUUCAUCCAACAAGGGAACAAAACAAUGGUCAAUUCCUCUGAUGGUAACGCCACAAUUACUACAUCAGAGAAUGGAUAUCUUAAUUUCAGUUGUAGUGCAAAGAACAAAUAUGGACAAGGAAAAACAGCGCAUCUUGAAAUACCAAUCUGUCGAGAUAACUUGGAAGAUAAUGGUAUGUCUUUAUGUGAUCAACACGAUCAACACAUUUGAACCUUAAACUCAUUAGAUUUAAAACUGAGUACUUUACAUGUGCAUUAAUCCACUGAAGAAAGAAUGGAUAGUUUGAUAUUUUGUUUGCUCACUUCACAACAGUCAAUCAGAAUAAGCAAAGCAAUUCAAUCAACAUUUAGAAUUAAAAGAGGCAUUAGAACA